AUGGCUGUCGUCAGCUCGUGUCGUGAGAUGUUGGGUUAAGUCCCGCAACGAGCGCAACCCUUGCCAUUAGUUGCUACAUUCAGUUGGGCACUCUAAUGGGACUGCCGAUGACAAAUCGGAGGAAGGUGGGGAUGACGUCAAAUCAUCAUGCCCUUUAUGCCCUGGGCUACACACGUGCUACAAUGGUCGGUACAACGAGGAGCAAACCAGCGAUGGCAAGCAAAUCUCUAAAAGCCGAUCCCAGUUCGGAUUGCAGGCUGCAACUCGCCUGCAUGAAGUCGGAGUUGCUAGUAAUCGCGGAUCAGAAUGUCGCGGUGAAUGCGUUCCCGGGUCCUGUACACACCGCCCGU
rnacentral:rRNA from 1 species